GCUGGUGAACAUUAACUGAGCUUCCUGUCUCGCAUGGCCCUUUUUUUCCUCCAUGACCUGUACAUCCUAUUUCAUUGUGACAAAGCAGGAAGUCAAGCAAAGGAUGCUGAAAUGAUAAAUAAAGAGCUCCUAAAAAAUCUCAUAGAGGAAAUGUACAGGAGGUGUAAGCAGAGGCAUGUGAUCUAAGAGGGAUAUAGAAAAUCUUUUUGACCAUGCAGGAUAGGGUUAGAAAAGCCAAAGCCUCCCUGAAGCUGUCUGUGGUGUGGCAUGUGAGGUCAUUUUUAUUCUGAUGACCACAUUUGGCUCUGUGGAAAAAUCACUCCUAUGAAUUAAUCUAGGAGUCACUAAGUAAAAUGGCUUUCCUUUCAGGCCAAUAUCAAAUGUCUUGCAAGAGCUAUAAACACAGAGCAGAUACUACCUAAUUUCUUCUGUUGCUACCUUUCUUUCUUGUGUCUAUUUUCAGCACUGGGACUUUCCCAAACAGGUACUAUAGAUCCUGCAAUUCAGAGUCAGAGCAUUGAAGGAGCUGGAAGGGACCACUUAGAGAUCAUCGAGUCCAACCCCUCUGUAAAGUAGACCUCCUACAGCAGGCCGCACAGUUUCUUAACAUCACCUCCACUGUCUCCAGGGAACAGAAGAUCAGUAGCACUACUGUCUUGUAAGAGAGCUUGAAUAUGUGGGAUGGUACUGUCCACAGAAGAGCACAAUGUACACUGUAUCCUUUAAAAGAAAAGUCACCUUCUUGACAGCUGCACCCCAAAAUCACCCCUCCUUCUCAGUGAGAGCCAUGGACAUAGUCUUUUAUAUAUAUGUGAUUUAAUCAGGUGGACAUUCUGGGAGCUAAACUCAAAGUGGGCUGUUCCCUUCAAAAAGGGAAGUUGGAUUAAAAUAUAAAUGAAAGUUGUCUGGGGGCUGAAAGAGUCAGGAAAGUUUUCGGUAAAAAUGCCUAGUAGACCUUUCAGCAAUAAUAUUAAUAAACAAAUUGAGUGGUACAACAUUGAACCAGGCAAGUUUGUGAACAGGCUGAAAUAUUUCCAUUUCCUUAUGUGCCUUAGAAAUAGACUUGAUUCAGAAACUGCUUAACAAUUCCAGAUAGCCACUAACCAGAAUCAGAUAAAAAAAAAACUGAAAGCUGAUUGUAAUCAUCCAUGACUAGAUGCUCACCACUUUCAAACUCAGCUAAAAUCAUAUAUAAAUAGUUAAGAUGUCCAAGCUGAUGCCAAUUUAGUAGUCAAGAAAUCUAGUUCACUAUAUCAGACAUACUGAAGAAAAAAAAAAUAAAAGGAAAACAGAACAAAAACAACCUCCAGAGACCCUUAUAAAAAUUGUUGACUCCCAAACAAGAAAUAUUGUAGAUCAAAUAUCUUAGUAAAUAAACAGAUUUAGCACUUCCAUACAAGCAGAAUCCAUUAAACCACCACUAGCUAAACCAGAAUAACUUUGGGAAAAAAAUGUAAAUAUCAUAGAAGCAUAGAAUGGCUUGGGUCAGGAGGGACUUCAAGGAUCAAUUUCCAACCCUCAUGCCACUGGCAGGGUUGCCAGAUGCUAGUUCAAAUACUAGAUCAGAUUGCCCAGGGCCUCAUCCAUCCUGGCCUUGAACACAUCCAGGGACAUAUCUGGGAUUACCUCAAUGCAAGUGCAAAACCUUGCACUAUGAUUUGUGUAACCUCAUUAGGUUCACAAGGGUCCACCUUUUGAGUUGAACAAGGUCCCUCUGGAUGGCAUCCCUUCCUUCUGCUGUAUCAAUCGCAAUAUGGACUCUUUUUUAUUUUGUAUGAAACAUAAAUAUUUUAAGGUCCAAAAAUACUUAGGAAAUGUAGAAUAAAAUAAAAUUGCAAUUUAAUAGGUUUGAUGUAACUGGUCCCCUGAUGUUCUUUAACGUUACAUCCUAACUCCCCUGAUACUUGUGAGAAGACAAGUGAGAAAUAAGGUACCUCCGGUUCAGAAGAAAAUGUAGCUCUAAAUACCAUCAUGGGAUUGCAUAUAUGGGUCUAUAAGACAAGCAUCUGGAUUUUCUUUCUUUCUUUUUUUUUUUUUUUUUCCCUGAAUGCAGCAAGGAAAGAGUUAUUUAUUUGACUGGGUAUUAACAGUGUGAGAACAGAUAAGCUUGUAUUUGGAAGUGGAACCACUCUCACAGUUGAACCAAGGGAGCAGAGAGAUUCUAUUCCAGAGGUCAUUGUGAUGAAAUCAAAGAAACAUAAAGAAGAUGGUGACACUGGGAAAGCAGCUUGUUUGGCGAGGAAUUUUUA